rnacentral:misc_RNA from 1 species
GCAAGAUUUGCUGUUGGGUUUAUUUGUUUUCCUUAGGAUACAUGGUGAAUAUGCCUUUUCACCUUUUUGACGUUGACUGUGACGUUGGGUGUAGUUAAAAAAGAAGUGUUGAAGAUUGACUCCAGAUCUUCUCUUCCCGCUCGUUCUAAAAAUCGGUGCACUUAAAAUAAGUCUUCUUUUCUCUCCUAACUCUUUUUGGGAAAUGUAAAUAUUGCGUUGUGGCUGCUCUUUUCUCAGAUUAAUAGCACAAUUGAAUAACUCAAUUGUCUUGAGCAUUAAGAAGUCUGCAUGUAACCCCAUCAUCACUCUCAGGCAUUUUUCUACAAAAAAUAAUGCUUUCUUCGACAGCUAUUGGAUUUUGCGUAGUCUUAUUUUUUAUUUUUUUACUAGUACUCUUCAGUUGCUGCUACAGGCAAUUGUAUAAGUCCAAAGAACAAAUAUCACCACCUCUUCUACCUAGACGCACCAGUUCUACCGCAAAUAGGCGGUACAUCACUACCAUAGAUGUACAAACUGGACUUCCUGUUGUCAUUGAUAUUACUGCGAUAGCCGCACACAACAGCCAAGUGAGAAUUGUGCCACCAUCCCAUUGGAGCCACUCCAUCAACACACCAGAAUACUCAACCCGUUAUGGAUCUGUUCAUAGUCAACCCGUUUUAGGGUCCUCACCACCACCUGCUUAUUCUGAAGUAUAUCCUCAGCCGAGGAUAUCAUGAACACUAAAAAAAUUGAUCAUUGGUGAAAUUUAGAAGCUACUGAAAUUCAGAUUGAGCUUAGAGAUCAGUCCAUUGGUAAUUCUCAUCAAUAAUUCAUAAGCAAUCAAUAAUUCAUCAAUAAUUCAUAAGGAUUGUCAAUAAUUCAUAAGGAAUAAAUUUGAAAAACUGUAAAUAUUUGAUUGAGAACACUACUUUGAACUUUAAGUUUAAUAUGAACUGUUAUUAAAAUGUAAGUAAAUGAAUUCCCGAGAUCAAUAUAUCUGAAUUUCUGAGAAUUUCUCAGAGAAUGAGAAUGAAUUUUUGAGAUCAAUAAGAUACAACUUUAACAAUUCCUGAAAAUUCCCAUCAACUCAUAAAUAAUUCUUAUCGAUUCACAACUAAAUCUUUGACCGUAAGAGAUAAAUCCAUAACUGCUGAUAAUGCAUAUUAAUAGAAUGUUUAACUAUUGUGAAUUUAGAAACUGUUCUACUGUACAAAACACUGACUUUAGACCGAUUCUAUCUAGAAACAGUAUUUUUUUAUGGUUUGAUAGAGAAACAUUCCUUCCAGUUUCUUCUAACUACUUUUAACAAACCUGUUUUCCUAGAAAGAGGUUGGAACUCAGGCUGUAGUUAAAUAUAUAGGUGGAUAAUAUUGAAAUACAGACUAAUCUAUAUUUUCCUUAUUUUUCAAUUUAAAAAAAAAUUGUGUAUUCUAAGCUAACUAGAUGAAUUAAAAUUAAUGUAACUGUAUCUCAGCGAUCAACCAACAUGGGAUUGUUGAUCUUCAUUAAAUCAGGAUUCUUAUCAUUGAUGAUUAAUCAGUGAUAAGAGUUACUCAUAUAUCAAUGGAUAAUAAUGAAUAAAUGUUCUAAAUAAUGCAUUACUAUCAUCAUUUAAACAAAGUUACGGUUACAAAAAUUUGGUAAGUCAAAUAUAGUUUUCAUGUAAGUAAGCAUAGCAGUAUUGAUUAAGUAUUGAUUGUAAGUAUAGAAGUGAUUCUGAUGAGCGUACUUCUGUGAAUACCUCUACUUUUAAACUCUUCACAAAAUACACGAACCUUAUCCUCAAUCAGACUCAAAAGAGGCAGCAGAGAAGCAAGUAAACAA